rnacentral:rRNA from 1 species
UAGGGAAUCUUCGGCAAUGGACGAAAGUCUGACCGAGCAACGCCGCGUGAGUGAAGAAGGCUUUCGGAUCGUAAAACUCUGUUGUUAGAGAAGAACAAGGACGUUAGUAACUGAACGUCUACUGACGGUAUCUACCCAGAAAGCAACGGCUAACUACGUGCCAGCAGCCGCGGUAAUACGUAGGUGGCAAGCGUUGUCCGGAUUUAUUGGGCGUAAAGCGAGCGCAGGCGGUUUCGUAAGUCUGAUGUGAAAGCCCCCGGCUCAACCGGGGGUGGUCAUUGGGAACUGUGAGACUUGAGUGCAGAAGAGGGGAGUGGAAUUCCAUGUGUAGCAGUGAAAUGCGUAGAUAUAUGGAGGAACACCGGUGGCGAAGGCGGCGCUCUGGUCUGUAACUGACGCUGAGGCUCGAAAGCGUGGGGAGCAAACAGG